AAAGUGCAUCCUUUUAGAGGAU
rnacentral:miRNA from 8 species